rnacentral:rRNA from 1 species
UACAGAGGUCUCAAGCGUUGUUCGGAUUCAUUGGGCGUAAAGGGUGCGUAGGCGGCGCGGUAAGUCGGGUGUGAAAUCUUGGAGCUUAACUCCGAAACUGCAUUCGAUACUGCCGUGCUUGAGGACUGGAGAGGAGACUGGAAUUUACGGUGUAGCGGUGAAAUGCGUAGAUAUUGUAAGGAAGACCAGUGGCGAAGGCGGGUCUCUGGACAGUUCCUGACGCUGAGGCACGAAGGCCAGGGGGAGCAAACGGGG